rnacentral:rRNA from 1 species
UUGCUCUCGGGUGCGAGUGGCGGACGGGUGAGUAUGUCUGGGAAACUGCCUGAUGGAGGGGGAUAACUACUGGAAACGGUAGCUAAUACCGCAUAACGUCGCAAGACCAAAGAGGGGGACCUUCGGGCCUCUUGCCAUCAGAUGUGCCCAGAUGGGAUUAGCUAGUAGGUGGGGUAACGGCUCACCUAGGCGACGAUCCCUAGCUGGUCUGAGAGGAUGACCAGCCACACUGGAACUGAGACACGGUCCAGACUCCUACGGGAGGCAGCAGUGGGGAAUAUUGCACAAUGGGCGCAAGCCUGAUGCAGCCAUGCCGCGUGUAUGAAGAAGGCCUUCGGGUUGUAAAGUACUUUCAGCGGGGAAGGAAGGCGAUAAGGUUAAUAACCUUGUCGAUUGACGUUACCCGCAGAAGAAGCACCGGCUAACUCCGUGCCAGCAGCCGCGGUAAUACGGAGGGUGCAAGCGUUAAUCGGAUUU